UACGUAGGGGGCAAGCGUUGUCCGGAAUCAUUGGGCGUAAAGCGCGUGUAGGCGGCCCGAUAAGUCUGCUGUGAAAGUCCAGGGCUCAACCCUGGGAUGCCGGUGGAUACUGUCGAGCUAGAGUACGGAAGAGGCGAGUGGAAUUCCCGGUGUAGCGGCGAAAUGCGCAGAUAUCGGGAGGAACACCAAUUGCGAAGGCAGCUCGCUGGGACGUCACUGACGCUAAGACGCGAAAGCGUGGGGAGCAAACAGG
rnacentral:rRNA from 1 species